AUUAGGCAUGCAAGUCGAACGGUAUAAACCUUCGGGUUUAGAGAGUGGCGAACGGUGAGUAACACGUAGUAAUCUACCCGUCAAAACGGGGACAACCCAGGGAAACUUGGGCUAAUACCGGAUGCGUGCAAGCAAUUGUUUGGCUGUUAAUGCUAUUCACGGAAGUGAGUAGUGUUAAUGGUUGAGAGCAUUAUUUGCAUAAAAGGUGGCAUAUGCUGCCGUUUGAGGAUGAGCCUGCGUCCUAUUAGUUAGUUGGUGAGGUAAUGGCUUACCAAGGCGAUGAUAGGUAGGCGGCCUUAACGGGUGGUCGCCCACACUGGGAUUGAGAGACGGCCCAGACUCCUACGGGAGGCAGCAGUCGAGAAUAGUCUACAAUGGACGGAAGUCUGAUAGUGCGACGCCGCGUGAACGAAGAAUCCCUUCGGGGUGUAAAGUUCUUUUAUACGUGAGCAGUGCCCUUUAUAUGAAUAGUAUAGAGGGAGGGAUUUAAGCGUAUGAAUAAGCAACGGCUAACUCCGUG
rnacentral:rRNA from 1 species